rnacentral:rRNA from 1 species
UACGUAGGUGGCAAGCGUUGUCCGGAUUUACUGGGCGUAAAGAGCGCGCAGGCGGUCGUUCAAGUCGCGUGUGAAAGCCCCGGGCUCAACCUGGGAAUGGCGAUGGAUACUGGCGCGCUAGAGUGCGGUAGAGGAGAGUGGAAUUCCCGGUGUAGCAGUGAAAUGCGUAGAGAUCGGGAGGAACUCAGUUGCGAAAGGCGGCCAGCUGGCGCUGACCUGACGCUGAGGCGCGAAGGCUUGGGGAGCGAACGGG